rnacentral:rRNA from 1 species
GCUAGUAAUCGCAGAUCAGCAUGCUGCGGUGAAUACGUUCCCGGGCCUUGUACACACCGCCCGUCACACCAUGGGAAUCGGUAACACCCGAAGUCGGUAGCCUAACCGUAAGGAGGGCGCCGCCGAAGGUGGGGAUUGAUGACUGGGGUGAAGUCGUAACAAGGUAAC